rnacentral:misc_RNA from 1 species
CGUCAUGCAUCCAGCAGCAUACGAGUCGACGACAUUGUAAUGGUGCGUGAGCACCACUUCCUUUGCUAUUGGGUAAAUGUCAACGAAGCUGAGAUCGGCUAACGAGAUCCAGAAGUUGGUCAAAUCUUCCUUGGUCACCAAAUCAGGCCACUCCAUCGAGCCUGCAAGCAUCUUCUCUAUUAACCCACGAUGAACAGAAAACUGUUUAACGUGGUAUGAAAGUCCCUCCAUCGAGAACUUGCCUCCCGAGAGAGUCAAGUGAUGGUUGGCCCUUUGCAUGAAAAGGUCUCGCAGUACGUGACAGAACCUGAAUUCGUAACACAUCGAAAGACUUUUCCCAGCCAUGUACUCAUCAUCCGACACACUUUGGUUAGAGUUCGGGCGGCAAUUGAACUUUGCAAGGACUUUACCUAUGAAAGGCAGCAUAACAUGAGCUUGUUCGCCCCGCAUAACGGGAACGAAGUGUUUUGACAAGAAGUGCAUGUUAUGCA